rnacentral:rRNA from 1 species
CGACCGCUGGCGGCGUGCUUACCACAUGCAAGUCGACCGGCAAGGCCCUGCUUUUGUGGGGUGCUCGAGUGGCGAACGGGUGAGUAACACGUGAGUAACCUGCCCUUGACUUUGGGAUAACUUCAGGAAACUGGGGCUAAUACCGGAUAGGAGCUCCUGCUGCAUGGUGGGGGUUGGAAAGUUUCGGCGGUUGGGGAUGGACUCGCGGCUUAUCAGCUUGUUGGUGGGGUAGUGGCUUACCAAGGCUUUGACGGGUAGCCGGCCUGAGAGGGUGACCGGCCACAUUGGGACUGAGAUACGGCCCAGACUCCUACGGGAGGCAGCAGUGGGGAAUAUUGCACAAUGGGCGGAAGCCUGAUGCAGCAACGCCGCGUGCGGGAUGACGGCCUUCGGGUUGUAAACCGCUUUCGCCUGUGACGAAGCGUGAGUGACGGUAAUGGGUAAAGAAGCACCGGCUAACUACGUG